rnacentral:lncRNA from 1 species
UGGAGAAUUGUGAGAGUUAACUUAAAAUCAGAAAUCUGGAGUAUCGUGCCACGAUGGAGAAGCAUCGCGCCACGAUGGUUGAAGCAAGAUUCCUGGGAAGACACUGGAUUUUUCGUGCCACGAUGAAGCCUCAUCGCGCCACGAUGGUCGCGCUGAAGAUAAAAAUAAAACGUAUUUUCAGUUAGAUUUGUUUCAGUUUUUUAAGGGUUUACUUUCCACUAUAAAUACAGCCUUGUAUCAGAUGAUAAAAGUGUGUAGAAAAACAAGGUUUAGACCAACAAACAAACUAGGGUUUAUAGAGAAUCUCUCUUGGCAACAACUCUAGGGUUGGGAUUGUUUUGAUUCACCUUGAACAAAACACUAUUAGGAUUGAGUCUCUUGGUCACGGGAAGAGGCUGGGACUUGGGUAGAAUUAGGUUUGAAGACUGAUUCUUGAAACUCAUUAUCUCUUUGUAAAGAAACUCAUUCAUUAUAGUGGAUCGGAGAGCUGCUCUCUCCCCCAGACUAGGUCAUCAUUAGACCGAACUGGGUAAACAAAUAUCUUGUGUUCUUUCUCUCUCUCUCUCUCUCUCUCUCUCUCUCUCUCUCUUUUAUCUCUUGCUGUUUUUGUUUGGAUUAUUUGCUACCCGCUUGAUUUGAUUACUUGGUAUUAAUUUGCUCCACGCAUCAAGUUUUUAUUGGUGUGGUUUUCUCAACGAAUUCACAACAAUUGGCGCCCACCGUGGGGCAAAGGUCAAAUCAAUAGCCAGGUAUCAUGGGUUCGAAGUGGGAUAUUGAAAAGUUCACCGGUAGUAACGACUUCGGGUUGUGGAAGGUGAAGAUGAGGGCAAUCUUAAUUCAACAAAAGUGCGUUGAAGCACUAAAGGGAGAAGCACAGAUGUCUGCACAUCUGACACCUGCUGAGAAGACGGAGAUGAAUGAUAAGGCGGUCAGCGCUAUCAUUCUGUGUCUUGGGGAUAAGGUGUUGAGAGAAGUAUCAAGGGAGGCUACUGCUGUGUCUAUGUGGAAUAAGCUUGAUUCAUUAUACAUGACCAAGUCUUUGGCACAUAGACAGUGUCUGAAACAACAACUCUACUUUUAUCGUAUGGUGGAGUCAAAACCUAUAAUGGAGCAACUGACGGAGUUCAAUAAGAUUAUUGAUGAUUUGGCGAACAUAGAUGUUAAUCUGGAAGACGAGGAUAAAGCCUUACACCUAUUGUGUGCUUUACCUAGGUCCUUUGAGAAUUUCAAGGAUACUAUGCUUUAUGGCAAAGAGGGCACUAUCACUUUGGAGGAAGUUCAAGCAGCUUUGAGAACCAAAGAGUUAACCAAGUUCAAAGAGUUGAAGGUUGAUGAUAGUGGAGAAGGCUUGAAUAUCUCAAGGGGGAGAAGUCACAACAGAGGAAAAGGGAAAGGCAAGAAUUCCAGGUCAAAGUCUAGGUCGAAGGGUGAUGGCAAUAAAACACAGUACAAAUGUUUUAUUUGUCAUAAUCCAGGUCACUUCAAGAAGGAUUGUCCGGAGAGAAAGGACAAUGGAGGUGGAGAUUCAUCCGUUCAGAUUGCAAGCAAAGAUGAAGGUUAUGAGAGUGCUGGAGCACUAACUGUGACAAGUUGGGAACCUGAAAAGAGCUGGGUCUUGGACUCUGGGUGCUCUUAUCACAUUUGUCCAAGAAAGGAGUACUUUGAAACGUUAGAGCUGAAAGAAGGUGGAGUAGUUCGCCUUGGUAAUAAUAAGGCUUGUAAAAUUCAAGGUAUGGGUACUAUCCGACUCAAAAUGUUUGAUGAUCGUGAUUUCCUUUUGAAGAAUGUGAGGUAUAUUCCUGAACUUAGGAGAAAUUUAAUAUCCAUAAGCAUGUUUGAUGGUCUAGGCUAUUGCACUAGAAUUGAACGUGGUGUGAUGAGAAUUUCUCAUGGUGCAUUGGUUAUGGCUAAAGGGUCUGAAAUACAAGGUCUAUAUAUUUUAGAAGGUUCUACCGUAAUAGCAAAUGCAUCGGUUGCUAGUGUUGACACUCUGGACAUAACUAAACUUUGGCAUUUGAGGUUAGGUCAUGUCAGUGAGAGGGGUUUGGUGGAGCUAGCUAAACAAGGUUUGCUAGGGAAUGAAAAAUUGAACAAGCUAGAUUUCUGUGAUAACUGCACAUUAGGCAAACAACACAAGGUGAAGUUUGGAGUGGGUGUACAUAAAUCUAGUAGGCCUUUUGAGUAUGUUCAUUCGGAUCUUUGGGGUCCAGCAUCAGUUAAGACUCAUGGGGGAGGUUCAUAUUUCAUGUCUAUCAUUGAUGAUUAUUCUAGAAGAGUAUGGGUUUACAUUCUGAAGAAUAAAAGUGAUGCUUUUGAAAAAUUCAAAGAAUGGGAUACACUUGUAGAAAAUCAGAUUGGAACUAAACUGAAAGUGUUGAGAACUGACAAUGGCCUGGAGUUUGUUUCAGAGCAGUUUAAUGAGUUUUGCAGGAAGAAAGGUAUAAAGAGGCAUAGAACCGUGGCAUACACACCUCAACAGAAUGGUCUUGCUGAAAGAAUGAACAGGACUUUGUUGGAGCGUGUGAGGUGUAUGCUGUUGGGAGCUGGAUUGUCCAAGAGUUUCUGGGGAGAGGCUGUUAGUAUUGCAGCAUAUUUGAUUAACAGAUGUCCAUCAACAGGGAUAGAUCUCAAGACACCUAUGGAGGUUUGGAGUGGGAGACGGGUAGACUACUCUAACUUGAAAGUUUUCGGAGCUUUAGCGUUUGCUCAUGUCAGACAAGACAAACUUGAUGCUAGAGCUGUGAAGUGUAUUUUCAUGGGUUAUCCUGAAGGUGUGAAAGGUUAUAGACUGUGGAAGAUGGAACCUAGAGGAUCAAAAAUUAUUAUAAGCAGGGAUGUUACUUUUGAUGAGACCCACAUGGGGAUGAAGUGCAAAGACCUGGAUACAAGCUCGGAAACGGGGAUAGAGAAAAUUCAGUUUGAGGUGGAGCCUACCACUGAUGAAAGGGAAGAGGAGGAUCAAACUCCAGUACCUGAUGAGAGUGAAGGCCUAGAGAUAAUUAAUCCUGACUAUCAGCUAACAACAGAUAGGACGAGGAGACAUAUUAAUCCACCUGAUAGAUACGGUUAUGCUGACCUUAUUUGUUAUGCUUUGAAUGCGGCUGAAGAAUUGCAAGACUCGGAACCAAAGAACUUCAGGGAAGCAUUAGAAAGCAAUGAAAACAAUGACUGGCUGAAGGCAAUGAAUGAGGAAAUGCUUUCAUUGGAGAAGAACCAGACUUGGAAACUUGUUUCAUUACCUAAGAAUCAAAGGGUAGUGGGAAGCAAGUGGGUGUUUAAGAAGAAAGAAGGUAUACCAGGGGUCGAAGCACCAAGGUAUAAGGCAAGACUUGUAGCAAAGGGUUUUACUCAGGUGGAAGGGAUUGAUUACAAUGAAAUCUUUUCAUCGGUGGUAAAACAUUGUUCUAUAAGGGUACUUAUGGCGAUUAUUAACAUGUAUGAUCUUGAGUUAGAACAGAUGGAUGUGAAGACCGCAUUUCUACAUGGAGAGUUGGAAGAAACUAUCUAUAUGCAACAACCAGAAGGUUUCGUAGAAGACAAUACAAAAGUGUGUUUGUUGAAGAAAUCCAUGUAUGGGUUGAAGCAAAGUCCUAGGCAGUGGUAUCGUCGGUUUGAUGAGUUCCUAGUAAAGGCUGGUUUUGUGAGAAGCAACUAUGAUAGUUGUGUUUACAUGAUGAGAAGGAAUGAGAAAGUCAUUAUCUAUCUUCUCCUUUAUGUAGAUGAUAUUCUUAUGGCAAGGUCUGACAAGCAAGAGAUUCAGAAGCUCAAGGAAAGAUUGAAUGAUGAAUUUGAGAUGAAGGAUCUUGGUAAUGCAAAGAAGAUACUUGGUAUGGAUAUCAUGAGGUACCGGAACAAAGGUGAGUUGUUCUUAUCUCAGCAGGGGUACUUGAGGAAAGUGGUGGAGCGGUUCAGAAUGAAAGAUUCUAAAGUCGUUAGCACUCCUCUUGGUCACCACACAAAGCUAUCUAUAAAGCAGUGUCCUCAAUCCGAGGAAGAGAAAACCAAGAUGGAAGGUACUCCCUAUGCAAGUGGGGUUAGAAGCAUCAUGUAUGGUAUGGUUUGUAGUAGGCCGGACUUAUCCUACGCAAUUAGUGUGAUAAGUCAGUUUAUGGCAAAUCCGGGUCAAGUGCAUUGGCAAGCUUUGAAGUGGAUUCUGAGAUAUUUGAAUGGAUCUUUGAAAGGUGGUCUAAGGUAUACAAGGUCACUACCAGGUAGGGAUGCUUUGGAGGGAUAUGUGGAUGCGGACUAUGCAGGUAACGUAGACACUAGAAAAUCUUUGUCAGGUUUUGUGUUUACAUUGUUCGGUACAGCGGUAACUUGGAAGGCAAAUCAACAAUCAGUUGUAGCUCUUUCAACAACUCAAGCAGAGCACAUAGCCCUUGUUGAAGGGGUCACGGAAGCCAUAUGGUUGAAAGGUAUGAUUGGAGAAAUGGGGAUCAGUCAAGGGUGUGUGAAGAUGCAUUGUGAUAGCCAAAGUGCCAUUCAUUUGGAAAAUCAUCAGGUAUAUCAUGAAAGGACAAAACACAUUGACAUUCGUUUGCACUUCGUAAAAGACAUGAUUGAGACAAAGGAGAUCAUGGUGGAGAAAGUGGCAUCGGAAGACAAUCCAGCAGACAUGUUCACCAAAUCAUUACCAAGAUCAAGAUUCAAGCAUUGCUUGGACUUGAUUAACUUCAUCGAAGCUUAGAUGAAGGAUUGGAGAGAGCAGCAAAGUGAUUGAUGGUUAAAUUGACAUCAUCACUGAUUUGAAGUCAAGGUGGAGAAUUGUAAAAGUUAACUUAAAAUCAGAAAUCUGGAGAAUCGUGCCACGAUGGAGAAGCAUCGCGCCACGAUUGUUGGAGGAAGAUCCUGAGGAAGCUACUGGAAUUUUCGUGCCACGAUGGCAUCGCUGAAGAUAUUUUUAAAACAUAUUUUCAGUUAGAUUUGUUUCAGUUUUUUAAGGGUUUACUUUCCACUAUAAAUAUAAGCCUUGUAUCAGAUGAUAAAGUGUGUAGAAAACAGGGUUUAGAAGCCAACAUACAAACUAGGGUUUAUAGAGAAUUUCUCUUGGCAACAACACUAGGGUUGGGAUUGUUUUGAUUCACCUUGAACAAAACACUAUUAGGAUUGAGUCUCUUGGUCACGG